CAGUGAUAAGCAUAAGGGAUAUAAAUGUUUUCAUCCAUCAACCAAAAAAAUUUUCAUAUCACGUCAAAAAGUUUUUGAUGAAGAAGUAUUUCCUUAUAAACCUAAGUCUACAAUUAUGAUUGAUUCUCACGCUACUCAUAUUAAUAAUAUUUUUGAUUCCUGGUUGCCACCCACAACUGACUUUGGUGAUACUAAAGGGACCCCAACGGAGACUUCUACACCGCCGUGUUCAAGCCCACUACCAACACUUAUUCCAGCUCAAGAACAUAAUAAUUCACUGGCUGAUGUAGUCACAGCAGUUCCUUUACCUCUUCUCAACAAUGAAAUGUCACCCCAAGCUCCAAUACCUUUACACACAGACAAUAUCCCAUCUCCACUAUCUUCGCCAACUAGAGACUUAUUAAGUGUCACCGCCUCACUUGACAGUCCCACAAACAUCACCACAUCUACUAUCACACCAUCUGCUUUAUCUCCUACCAACGAACCCAGUAUUAGCAGCACUUUAUAAGUUCCUCAUCCUAUGAUAACGCAUUCUCGCCUUGGUGUGGUUAAACCAAAUCCUAAGUAUGCCUUGCCCACCAUAACUUCCACAAUUCCCCGUGAGCCACAUAACAUCAUAUCAGCCUUAGCUCAUCCUGGUUGGAAAGCCGCUAUGGAGGAGGAACUUGCUACCUUGCAUAAAAAUCAGACUUGGAAACUUGUUUCCCGCACUCCAGAAAAUGCGUGUUAUAAGGUCAAAGUGGGUCUUCAAGCCAAAACUCAAACCUGAUGGUACAUUGGGUGGGCUCAAGGCCCGCUUGGUUGUAAAGGGAUAUCAUCAAAUUGAUGGCAUAGACUACACAGAGAUCUUUUCUCCAGUCAUCAAACCAGGGACAAUUCGUAUGAUCCUAACCAUAGCACUGGUUCAGAAAUGGCGCAUUCGACAACUUGACGUGAAGAACGCAUUUCUACAUGGUUUAAUUUCAGAAGAUAUAUAUAUGGAACUACCACCAGGAUUUGCAGAUUCACAACAUCCAACACAUCUGUGCAAGCUACAAUGAGCUAUUUACGGAUUAAAGUAGACACCUCACGCUUGGUUUGAUCGGUUUAGUACUUUUCUCCUUAAAUUUGGUUUUUUUUUGCAGUUUAGCUGAUCCAUCCUUAUAUAUUUUUCACUCUAAUCAUGGCUCACUAAUUUUGCUUCUUUAUGUAGGUGACAUGUUGCUCACAGGAUCGACUUUGGAUUUGUCACUUCGUUUAUCCAAAUUCUUAGUAGUGAAUCUGCAAUGAAAGACUUAGGGCCAGUUCAUCACUUCCUUGGCAUAGAAAUUUCCCAAUUAUCUGAUGGUCUUCAUUUGUCACAGUCACACUAUGCUCUUACCAUACUGGAGAAAACGAAAAUGGUUGAUUGUAUGCCCAUGAAUAAACCACUUGAAUCAAAGAGAAAAAAUCCUAUUACUUCCAAACCAUUAGAAGACCCAAGUUACUUUCGAGGGAUAGUUGGUGCUCUACAAUAUCUUACACUUACUCGGCCAGAUCUUUCCUUUAGUGUCAAUUAUAUAUCCCAAUUCAUGCAUAACCCCACAAUGGCUCACUUGAAAAUGGCUCGACGUAUACUCCGUUAUGUCAAGGGCACAAUUCACUUAGGUUUAUAUUUCACAUCAAAUACUUCACUUCAUCUGUGUGCUUUUUUAGAUGCAGAUUGGGCUGGUUGUCCUACAACAAGAUGCUCCACCACUAGAUAUUGCACUUUCCUUGGUCAAAAUCUCAUAUCUUGGUGUGCCAAAAAAUAGAAUACAAUCUCUCGCUCUAGCACUGAAGCUGAAUAUCGUGCCAUGGCCAAUACAACAGCAGAACUAACAUGGAUGACUUUCAUUCUCAAAGAUUUACGCAUUCCACUUUCCAAUCCUCCAACGUUAUACUGUGACAAUAUCAGUGCUCUCCACAUGACAAUUAAUCCAGUUUUUCAUGCUCGUAGUAAACACAUCGAACUGGACUAUCAUUUUGUGCGCGAACGAGUUGCUCUUGGUCUACUUGUCACUCGACAUAUCUCCACAACAGAACAACUAGCUGAUUUGUUCACCAAACCAAUGUCCAAAGCUGCUCUCCAUUAUUUCUGCACCAAAUUCUGCCUUAGCCCCCGGCACAGUUUGAGGAAGGGUAUUAGUAGCACUUUACAGGUUGGCAAUACAAAUCUUUGUGAGGAUAAAUGGAGUUACAAGGAGUCCCUACAAUCUUGGAGAGAUAAGGAAGAAGAUCCUCUCAUUCAAAGUGAUAAGGCCACAUGUUCAGAGAAGUUGAGUGAUAAAGGAAACCAAGGAUGACUAGUUCAAACCGAAAUGCUUAUCCAACGAGAUGCAACACAUCUGGCAUGAAAAACAGCAUCAGAUUCAAGAAGGAUGCAAAAAGAUCAGAUCUGUUUAAAGUUUGAAUUUUUUUUAGAGAUUUUUGUGCAAAAUAGUUUUUAUUUGUUUCACUAUAUGUUUUUCCUAUUUAAAGAGGACCUGUGUAACUUCUAUUUUUAAGUGCUCACGUUGAGUAAAAAAUCUUCAGUACAACAGGUUGUUUGUCCAUUUAAAGAUUAUAUCAAUUCCAG
rnacentral:lncRNA from 1 species